GGACAUAUAAAGAAUUAUUGGAAGCCCGAAGAUCUCUACAUACACACAUGACGAAACGACAUUAUAGCUCCAUACAACGAUCGAAGGCCUUCUUCUACCAACACGCCAACAAAGGAGGGCGACUGCUGGCCAGAAUGCUUAGAGGCCCCCAAGGCAUGACCCAGGUACAUAAACUGCGGACAUCAGACGGCACGAUCACACAAUUCCCAGAUAAAAUAGCAUCCGAGUUUCGCACAUUUUACGCCUCGUUAUACAACAUCCCGGGACCCACACUACCGGAGGAGGUAACACUCAGACGGGAUAGAAUAAGGAGUUAUAUCGAAUCACACGUGAAGACGAG